rnacentral:tRNA from 1 species
GCCGGAGUGGUGGAAUUUGGUAGACACAGGGGACUUAAAAUCCCCCGGGCUUCACGGCCUGUACCGGUUCAAGUCCGGUCUUCGGCA